GCCAUAUAGAGAAUUUUUUUUAAAGACUUCGAGAUUUAAGUCGUGAAUUUACGAGAAUAAAGUCGUGAAUUUACGAGAAUAAAGGCAUUAAUUUAUGAGAAUGAAGUCAUAACCUGUUAUUUCAGAGAGACUUGUUAAAAUUAGGGCCAUGAAGCAUUUGAAGGAACUGUGCUUCAGUAUAGAUUUCACAAACAAGGAGAUUCUUCAUCCUCUGGCACAUCAGCAUCACAUUGUCAUAAGUAUAAAGACUUAAAAAAGAAUAUGUGAGAAAUACGUCUUUUCCACGGGGGAAAAAAACUGGUGUACUUGAAGGAAAUCGCUGCUUUUGUGGAGGCAGAAAUGAAUAUGCUGAGGAUAUAUCUGUCAAUGCAGCCGUAAAUAUCCGUGAAUGACAUUGAGCUUUAGUUUAUGAUAUGAAUCCAUAUGCCAUAAUAAGGUGUUGGUGUCUCUGCAGGUGUAGGUUACCGCCGGUGUCAGAGACGUGGUGCUCGUCGGAGCUCGACUCCCUCUGGAUCACAAAUGUUGAUCAUCAUCAGUUUGAUUGUUUCUUCAGAAACCACAAAAUCUCUCUGAAUGACCCGCUGAUACAUCCACAGAUAACCCUGCAGAUGACCAGCUUCAGUCAUUUCCCCCUCCACAAAAGCAGCUUUAUGACUUUAUUUACUUUAUGACUUUAUUCUCCUAAAUUUACAACUUUAAUCUCUAAAUCUUAAAAGAAAAAAAAACCUCAAUGUUGUCCUGAUCCUCUGCUGUAGUUUUGUCAGCUUUCUUAUUUCUAAUGUUUUUGAUUGUUGAAGCAGAGCGGAUCAGUUCGUCUCUAAAUCUAUAAUGUUUGGUUUACAGAUUUUAGUGAGUUCAGAGAUCAUGCUCUCAUACAGCCUAAGCUGACUGUCUGCUGUUUUUGGAUUGCUUGUAAUUUCUUUGAAGACGCGCUGUGUCUCCAAGUGAGUCCAGCCUCUCACCCGUAAUGCACAGCCGUGCAGCGGCACGCAAAGAAUUCUGGGAUACCAACGUCAUGAAAGCGUGCAUAAAUGCACGCUUCAGAAACGGACGGGGGCAGUGUGGUUUUGAGACCAAGGCUGUGUCCGAAAUGGCAUACUGCCUACUAUCUACUUACCUACUCAAGCAGUAGCUACUGCCUACUGACUACUCAAAGAUGAUUUGAGUAUGCCGCGGCUGCCCGAGCGUUUACACACAUACAUACUAAAUACCCCAGAAUGCAUUUCGUGCCGGCCGGACGCAGCGCCGGGAAAAUUUAAAUAGUCCUACAACAAGCUACACAGAACGACUGCAUCCCGGACAAAUUAUAUAAAUUCAUUCAAUAAAAAUAUUUUUUCUAGCGAGAAAGUAAGUGUUUACAUCACGAUUAUGAGCCCAGUUGUUUGAAAUAGUGGCUGUUUGUAAAUUUGUCUCGGCGUUUUCGGAGACCGAAGCGUCCGCUUGGUCGGUGUUUGCGUCUAUUUACCGUAAACACCGGGCAGCAGCAGCUCCCCCUUCACGUUUCCAAAUUAUUGCGAAGUGUUUUCAUAAUCAACAUCUACACGACACAAACCGGGCGGCAGUGGAUGAAAAAAAUCACACAAACAUCCGUGUAUCCAUGGUGAUAAUGCUAUACACCACCUGCUGGCCGUGUGAUGAGCAGCAGAGGGCUGCAAAAUGACCAACACACAACAUAAUUAUUAUGACCUCGUUCGGUUAUUCCUUGGCAAAUACAUCAUUUCCCGACUACAUUCUUUUCAUGUACAAUGAUAAUUUCAGAAACCAUCAGAUUUUCAACCACAAGUAAGAAUUAGUAAAGCUCACAUACAUUGUCAACUGGAAACUCCCCCGUUUGUAUAUUCUGAACCAUGUGCUCUCUACCAAAGAUAAUCUUUAUUAAUCAGAGGUCUGUGCUUAAUAUGAGCGACCACUUUGAUGAUGCAUUCAGAGAUGAGAAGAUGCUCAAACUUGAUGUAAUAAAUACAUCUUUAAUAGACACUUAAAUAAAUAAAGUCAAUUCAUACGAAUAGUUAAAAACAUUGCCUAUAAUCCUAAUUUAAAAUACAAAUAAAUCUGGUAAAAAGAUCAAAAUAUGAUAAAAUGAUGAAAAUUGUGUAAUGUAUACGGACUAAAUAUUGUUUAUCUAUUUAUAUAUAUAUAUAUAUAUCAUUAUUAUUGCAAUCACAUGCCAUCUAUUUCUUUUCAGCCUCGGGAAAGAGGGCCAUAUUACCAGCUGAGGUGCGCAAUGCAUUGUGGGGCAGAAGCAGUACGUGAAGCAAGCUCCGUUGCACACUCAGAAAUCGAAGCCGAUUGAGUAUACAUCCGGGUAUUUCUCGCAUACACAAAAUUCGCAUACUGUACAGUGUGAACGCACUGCCUACUCAAUUCAGAGGCGGGGUUAGUAGGAGUAGUAGGAGUAGUAGGCCAUUUCGGACACAGCCCAUAUUUGAAGCGCGCUUAGCAUUUCGUGCCAAAUGGGACAGCGUUUGCGCCGCGUGAUAACCUCACGCACACUUCAAAAGCGACGUUCAGUGCGGUCUCUGAAAUGAGACACAGCCCUGGAUCAUGACGUUUGUGGAUCAGUUGGUAGAAUGAGCAAAAAGGUCAACGGUCAGCUCCCAGAGCUGUCCACGUGCUCAAGUGUACUCGAGCAAGACUCUUGACCCUGCCCACCCCUGCUGGUUGAGUCCAGGAGUGAAUAAAACUAAGGUCUCCAUGACAACCUCUCUAUGAGUUAGUGAAUGAAAACAUGAACCUUUGACGAAGACUCUAGAAAUCCUCAUUUCUCAUAGUGAAGAACUGAGAACUGAGAUAAUAACAGACUCUCAUUUUCCCAUCCUGUCUGGAUUUAAUGUUGAUAUUUGACUCACAUGAAGAUGAGAACAUUUGGAGGAUCACCUCAGGGAUCAAUAUUCUUCUUCUUCAUCAAAGAGACGACAUGUUUUAUCUGUUUAAGUUUUACAAAAACAAACAUGUUCCUGAAAAUGUGAUGGUUUUCAAAUGUUACACAUUUAUGGUGAGUGACUGACACCUUCUGGUGAAAUUGUGUAUUACACCAAAUACUCAGUAUGAAGCAGAUGGACAUCAGGGACAGAAAUAAGUCCUGACCUUUACGUGAUACGUGAAUGUCUUUUUAUUUCAUUGUUUUUCUCAGUUUGUGGAUUUUUUCCUAAUCGGAGGGAGGCGAUGGAGAGGGUGCCUACUUUCAAGUUCCUGGGCAUGACUGUGGCUGAUGACCUAUCCUGGGGGACCAACAUCACCUCGGCUGUGGGUAAGGCACAACAAUGCCUUUUCUACCUCAGGAAAUUAAAGAGGGUAACUUCCUCAGGGACUUAUGGUAAAUUUCUACCAUGCCACAGUAGAGAGUGUGCUCACCUAUAGUCUAUUGGUGUGGUUCUCCAGCUGCACCAAGGCAGACAAGGAGGCACUCCACAGAGUGGUCCAGGCUGUGGAGAGGAUCAUUGGGAAGAGCCUCCCAGAGAUCUCGGCAGUCUUUACCUCCCGCUGCCUUCGAUGGGUGAACAACAUCUUACUGGACCAGUUCCACUCAGCACACCAUGUUUUCCAGAGACUGCCCUCUGGUAGAAGAUUCCAGUCCAUCCGCUCCAGGACCAGCAGACUGACCAACAGCCUGUACCUUCAUGCUGUCUGACUGCUCAACGAACAACCGGCCCCCCCAUCCCAUCCCAUUCCCAACUCCCCCUUGGUAACAUAACUCCACCACCUCCAUAACUAACAUCGAUAACUGUGAAGUGGAUUGGAUUGCUGCACUGUAUACUAUCUACCAUCUAUUGCAGACUACCCUCCCAACCCCCAUUCAUCACCCCAUUUGUUCUAUUUAUGAUCAUUGUUAUUGAGUACUUGAUGCCAGUGGUGAUGUGGGUGCUCCAGA
rnacentral:lncRNA from 1 species